CCGCCUCAGCUGUGUCUUGCUGUAAAUAUGGACAAAGAGUUAACUUGAUGGAUUUUAGGUGAGCAUUAUGUUCCUUGGUACGUGCUCAUGAAGGACCAUCAGAUAUGA
rfam:Triticum aestivum genome assembly, contig: Triticum_aestivum_CS42_TGACv1_scaffold_113142_2AS